GAAACAUCUAAGUACCCGGAGGAAAGGAAAUCAAUAGAUACUCCCAUAGUAGCGGCGAGCGAAAUGGGACCAGCCGAGCCAUGAUUGUGAAUAGAAUUUGCUGGGAAGCAAAACCAUAGUGGGUGACAGUCCCGUAUAUGAAGCAUGAUUGGACGUAUUAAGUAGGGCGGAACACGUGAAAUUCUGUCUGAACAUCGGAGGACCACCUUCGAAGGCUAAGUACUCCUUACUGACCGAUAGUGAACCAGUACC
rnacentral:rRNA from 13 species